rnacentral:lncRNA from 1 species
AUGUUAUAUUAAGGGCAGUUUGGUGAAAGGGGUCUAUGCAGUUAUAAUUUUUGAAAAAUCAUAUAUAAUUUUGUUCACAUUUAUAUCGAGGGACUGCCUUUAUGUUCUUUUUCUAGCACUUCUGUAUGCAUACUGCUAAACUUCAUGUCACUAUAUACAGCUUUUAGAGCAUUAUGACCAAGUAGUUGGAAGUGACAUAAGUGAAGCACUUACUCUGCAAUCUUAUGUUAAAGGGCAAUUGAUUUGACGUAGCUGUUUAUUCUCACUGAAUUCUGGAGGGAGUGAGUGUGUGUGUGUGUGUGUGUUAUGGCCUUACAAAUGUUGGCGAGAAAGAACAAAAGAGAUUAGGAAUGCAUGGGCUUUCUUCAAGGUAAAUGCAAGAAAAAGAUUAGGAAGCAGAUAGCUGAAAAAGGAAACAAACUCCUUGGAGCAAAUCUGAACUCUAGACAAUUGGUUCACUACUACUUUUUUACCUCUCUUGGAUUUUGUUGCAGCAAGUAGAUACACUCGGUACUACUUACUUUGAUGCACUGUCUAGCAACAAUAAGGAAACUUUUACUAAUUCAAUUCAAUUGCUUCUUUAUGAAAAUUUCCAGGCAUC